UCUAAUUUUCAUCAUGAUUGAAAACAAAUUGAUUUUGCUUCUGAGGAGGAGCAAAUCCCUAACCCCCAAAUCUUCUGAAUCGAAGUUUUGCAAAUGGAAAGCAUAUUCCACUCCUUCAACCGAAUCACAGUCAAGCUUUUACUAUUCGAGAAUCAUUCCUUCCGUCAAAACCUCAAUCACAGGAAGCUUCAUUGGCUGUGGUUUGAGGUCAUUGCUUCAAAAUAAUGUUAAGAACUUCCACAUUCGCUCAUUCCGGAAUUUCUCAACUUCCACAUCCGCAAAUGCAAAAGGAACAGAAGGAUUGAAACUUCUGGUCACUGCUGGGUCCAAUGCUCAGGAAGUAGUUGGUAUUUGGCUUUUUGUAUCUGCUGCUUGGGUGUACAGCAUGGUGGUUCUCGGUGGCGUCACACGGCUGGCUAAGUCUGGCCUUCCAAUGACAGACUGGAAAUUCACUGGCCGUCUUCCUUUCUCUAAUGACGAUUGGUUGGCAGAAUUUGAAAAAUACAAGCAAUCCCAUGAAUACAAACGAGUAAAUAAAGAGAUGACUAUUGAUGAUUUUAGGUUAAUGUAUUAUAUGGAGUAUGCUCAUGUUUUGUGGGGAAGGUCAUUGGCCGUUAUGUUUGGAGUACCUUUUUCAUAUUUUCUUUUAAAAGGAUAUAUUACACUCCGCCUCGGACUUAGGCUCUCUGGACUAUUUGCUCUUUGUGCUGGGCAGGGACUAAUAGGGCGGUGGACAGCCAAGUGUUCAGAGGAACCCAAGUCUGAGUUUGCUGGACCAAGAGUAAGUUUUUACCACCUAGCAGCUCAUUCGGUUUCAACCUUUGCUGUUUACUCCGGGCUCUUUUGGACGGCUCUUUCUGUCGCCAUGCCUGAAUCCCCUGCGGAAUCAAUAGCCUGGGUUCAGCAGGCAGCAAAGGUCAAGCGUUUUGUUCUCCCUGUAAGUUUUAUUGUUGGGAUCACUGCUAUCUCUGGAGCAUUUGUGGCUGAAAGUGGCGGUGCCUUUAGUGCUUCUUCACGUACCAGCGAGGGAUGGGUUUCAGAUGAUGUAUUUGUCUUGAAGACUCAGCUUGUCCACCAAGUACUCGCUGCUGCAUCUUUACUUGCCAUUGGUGGCCUGUGGUGGUCGACGAGAACACCUGAUAUACCUCCUGCAUUACGGCCUUUAAUAGGAAGCACUAUUGGCAUUGCUGCAGUUCAGGUUAGUUUGGGGACAGCUCCUCUCUUGUCGACUGCACCGCCCUCACUGAGCACUCUUCAUCAGGCGGGCGUGUUGACCCUCUUAACCCUCGCAAUAUAUCUGAACCACAUCGUGAGACGACCUUCUCCUCAACUCCUCAAAACUCUUUCUUCUCUACGACGACAUGAAAAAAUACCCUAUAAUUGUUGCCAAUAUAUUAGACCCCAACGUCGUCCGCCACCACUGCUUCAGAGGCAAAAAUGAGAAGCAAACAAAGGCUGUUUCUACUACUUGUGCUCAUGCCUCUCCUUUUCCUUUUCAUUCAUCAACUAGGAGGAGUUGAAAAAACGGUGGCCCACGCCGGCAGUGUUGGCGGAGGCAGUCCGGUGGUUUCCGGAGGCUCACACGUCCCUAGUGGUGGUGGCGUGACCCCGGUGUAUGCAGCAGCCGGUGCAGGAAACAACCACCACCCUCACCGUGGCGGAGGAAACUGCGACAGAGGCGGGGCGGCGCCGGAGGCCUUGGCCGUAAUUACAUUUGCAUGCUUUCUAUUUUGUUUUAAACAAUGUUUUUAGAGAUUAUGAUCGUAACAAUUAAGCAAUAAAAAUGGUGUGUGUGUGUGUUUAUUGUACAUCAUGAUCUGACCGUGUAUCAUUUUGUGUAUAAUAUACCAUGAUGUAUUUUACUACGGUGUCUUCAAUCUGCAAAAUACAAAUACAUUAAUGUUAAUGUGAA